AUUGAACGCUGGCGGCAGGCUUAACACAUGCAAGUCGAGCGGGGUGAUGGUGCUUGCACUAUCACUUAGCGGCGGACGGGUGAGUAAUGCUUAGGAAUCUGCCUAUUAGUGGGGGACAACAUCUCGAAAGGGAUGCUAAUACCGCAUACGUCCUACGGGAGAAAGCAGGGGAUCACUUGUGACCUUGCGCUAAUAGAUGAGCCUAAGUCGGAUUAGCUAGUUGGUGGGGUAAAGGCCUACCAAGGCGACGAUCUGUAGCGGGUCUGAGAGGAUGAUCCGCCACACUGGGACUGAGACACGGCCCAGACUCCUACGGGAGGCAGCAGUGGGGAAUAUUGGACAAUGGGGGGAACCCUGAUCCAGCCAUGCCGCGUGUGUGAAAAAGGCCUUAUGGUUGUAAAGCACUUUGAGCGAGGAGGAGGCUCUUUUGGUUAAUACCCAAGAUGAGUGGACGUUACUCGCAGAGAAGCACCGGCUAACUCCGUGCUAGCAGCCGCAGUAA
rnacentral:rRNA from 1 species